CAGGUGAAGCCUGGAACAAGACUUUAAAGGGUUUCUGGUCUUCCAUGCUGCUCACUAGAAAAGAGGCCCUGAACUGUACUCUCCCUGUAGCUGACUAGAAGUGUUUCUGGCCCAGCUGGAAGUGAGAAGAGGGGGCUGAACCCCCUGAAGACCAUCCUAGAGGCGGUGGCAUCAUCCAACAAUCCUCCAUGUGAAUCAAUCCCAUGAUGCAACAUGCCUCCCCAGCCCCAGCUCUGACAAUGAUGGCCACGCAGAAUGUCCCUCCCCCACCCUACCAGGACAGCCCCCAGAUGACAGCAACUGCCCAGCCACCUUCCAAGGCCCAGGCUGUUCACAUCGCAGCACCCUCAGCCACCGCCAGCACACCUGUGCCCAGUGCCCCCAUUGAUCCCCAGGCCCAGCUUGAAGCAGACAAGCGAGCUGUGUACAGAUGGUGAAGGCGAUCCAGGUCCUGAGGAUCCACCUGCUAGAGUUGGAAAAAGUCAAUGAACUCUGCAAGGACUUUUGCAACCGUUAUAUCACCUGCCUC
rnacentral:lncRNA from 1 species